GCCAAUCAUCCUCACCAAAAAAAAGUUACAUUUAAAACAUACAGUGAAAUUUAAUACACUCUCAGAGUUGUGCAACCAUGACUGUUUCUCCACAUACCUCUUGUGUUUUUAGAUUAGAGUUGGCAGACCUAUUUUGAGUCGUUUGUUGUUUUGUUAUUGGGGUUUCUGCUUUUGCUUUUUUCUGUCUCUCUCUCCCUGUCCAGAAGUUGUGCAGCUGCCUCUGCCAGCCCCGCUGUCCAGCCCCAGGGCUCGUUCACGGCGCUGACCCACAGCAAUGUGGGCACCGUCACGGGCCUGCUCCUGGGCCUGGCGCUUGUUUCUGCUCUGUCUCCUGCAGCUUCGUGCGAGGCUGGAGCCGCAGCAAGAGCCCAGCCCACCCCUUGCCUUUGUCUGUGGGCCUGGGUCCGGCAGCGGGGUUGCCUCAGAGAUCCGAACGCAGACCCAUGGAGCUUCCCCCAGAGCCCGUGGGCCUUGGCCCCAGCCCUGCUCACGGCCCUCUGAGAUGACCCCCUUCCGGUCUGCAGAGACACUGACAGUGCUGCUGAGGCCCGGGCCGUCCACCAUCACCCUGCGCUGGGCAGAGGGUGUGGGGCGUGGGCUCCCAGGCCGUCUCGGCCCCAAGUCCACACCUUGUCUCACUUGGGGCCUGACUUCUUUUCUCUCCAGCUUUGGCAUUUGGCAGUGGGGCUGUGCUGAAGGAGGAAGGGCCCUCAGAGUCUGUUUCGGAGCCUUCGACCAGCAGCGCAACCUUUUGCAGACAUCGGAGGCGGGACACACAUGCAAACAUCCUGGGGGAAGAGACUCGGUGGACAAGGGCCUGAAGACCCACCCCCACCUUGCAGAGUCAGCCUGCCCCAAGCCAGACCAGGAGGCUGUCGCAAAUGUACACAUUUCCAGGAGCUGGGAGACACCAAGGGAGUCACACAGCGAUGCGCUCGGCAGACAUGAGGUGCGAGAGCGUGGUGGGCAGGACCCGCUUGUCUCGCCAGCCUCCCGGGGAUGCGACACCCUCGCUGGACCCCACAGGUCCGCUGGGAGCAGAAGCAAGCUCCUACGUGGAUGAGCAGUGCCUGGCUCGCAGCAAGGGGUCCCUGCGUGGUCCUGUUAGAGUGGACACCAGCGUUCGGGACCUCACAGUCCAUCAGGAAACAGGUAGAGAGGCCACGACUUGUCUCCUCACCAUGGGCCUGAGUGUGACUCAGGACCUCUCCGCGGAGGGCGCCCCAGCAGUAUCUCUCAAAACCAGGCCAGAGAGAGCCCUCGCCCACCCAGAGCCGGCGCUCCUGGGACCCCGUGCCGAGGGGCUCCACCACAGCUCUUUACUGCCCCAACAGUGUCCUUUCAAACAGACAGCAAAGUUUCAACGGUUGCACAAGAACAAGACAAGCGCCCAUCUGGUGCACCCACCCAAGGGGCAGAUGACCCUGAACACCCAGGAGGAUGAAUAAGGUGAUGACCGGUCCCGAGAGUGCCACGGAGACAUGGAAAGCAGGGACUCUAAAUGGCAUCCUUUCAUCUUCUUAAUGUUUACGUAUCAAACUUAACAGAAGAACACAGGGAACUUAGAAACGCAGUGUCUUGGCCGUUGAAGGCUUGAUUAAAAGCUGCAGUCAAUUCCCUCAAACCAUCGAGCCUGCAGUUACUGCCGCAGCGUGAACGAUUCCUCCAAACACUUUAAACGUCUUUCCUGGCAGACGAAACACACACAAGUGUAAUUAUCCCCCAAACUACGGCUACAGUUGCGCUAAAACGGGUUCUAAACAUCGGUGUCCAUUUUUGUUUUCUAUUUAUUUCUAUGCUUGUCUUUAAACCCUCCUAGCUUAUAGCUCUGACUGUUUGGAAGUCCUCCUGGAGUUUAGGUGACAUUGGCUGGUACUUUCCUGGGGUUGCCAAAGUCCUACGUGACCCCAAAGGAGGAGACUGUACCUUCUCAGCCAAUGGGAUUAGGGGAUGAAUAACCCACCUGUUGACUAGUCCAUCCGCCAAAAAACCCCAGGUUUCUGUCCCCGGCCGAGCCCCCCCGGUCUGCAGUCCAUGAUGCCCGUCCCCUACUCAGGAGUCUAAGGGGCGUCCCACACGUCACAGGCCCAGCUGGCUCUUGACUCCUUCUCCCUCUACGCCUGUGCCCCUCCGGCCUCCCCUCUUCACCUCGACCCUUUGCUUCGAGCCUGCAUGAGUCCGAACACACACCUCCCCUGCUUCCACCCCAGCCCCCAAGCGGCCAAAGCUACCUCUUGUUUUUAACAAACUUUUAAACUUAGAACAAUUUUCGAUUUACGGGAAAACUGUGAAGACACACAGAGAGUUCCCAUCUUCCUGCCCCCAGUUUGCCCCAUUAUUUACACUUUCAUCACCGUGGGUCAUUUUUAACGGCUAAUGAGCUGAUAGCGAUACUUUGAUGGAAGUGGGGGUUUUAGCUCUUUCCUGCUUUCUGGCACCACCAAUGCCCCAAGCUCUCCUUUAUUUCCUGCCCUCGUCCGCGUCUGGCUCCUUUCAUUGGAGAUGGUGUGAGAGGCCAUGAUCCAGUGCUGGCUGCGCUCAGGGAGACUGGGUGUCGCUGCGUCGAGACCCGCUCAGCUCAUAGAGAAAAUAUGUGUGUGCAUACGACCAUGUAUAUACGCAUAUCUAUAAACAUAUCUCUGUGUCACAUCUGUAUCUUUUUAAGUCAAACAUGAGUUCAUGCUCCUAUUUCUGAUCUCAUCCAUCACCACAUGGUCCUUCUGGCCUCCUCCCCUGGCUCACCUGGAAGCUCUGAGUUAUCUUUUGAUGAUGAAAGGCAGAGCAGGGCCUGCUCAGAACAUUCCAGUGGUUUUGCCACACACCCAAAGCACAAUGUCAUGGUGUUGUCUAAUUGAACUGACUCUGGCCUGCGAGGGUAUGAGCUCUGCAGAAGAACCUGGGGCUGCUGACUCAAAGCAUCUUCUCUCCAGCCACCUUCCUUUAUUGCUGAGCCGGGAGCACACUGCCUCAGGACCUUUGCAUGACACACUUCCUUGUCUGAGAGGCAUUCCCCAGAUUCCCACGGGGUUCACGUCCUAACUUGAUCCAGGCACAUUCUGACAUCUCUUCCUUGGGAAGGUUCCCGUCUUGCGUCCCUUCACUCUGACGUCUCUUCCUUGGGGAGGUUCCUGUCCUGGGUCCCUUCACUCUGAUGUCCCUUCCUUGGGGAGGUUCCUGUCCUGGGUCCCUUCAGCAGCUCACGGGCCCUGCACAUUCCCCUCCUUCAGUUUCCUUUUCUGCCUCACUGCCCGGGUCAUUGCUCGUUAACCUGUCUAUUUACCUUCUAGUUAAUUAAUUAACUCUUCACCUGUGGAGGAAGCUGGGGAAGAAUUCAGUAUUCUAAAACUGAGAAAUCAAGAGACAGAAUCAAGUAUUUACCCUUGAAUGGAAUGUCUGGGGAGCCAGAGGUCCUGGUGGGCGAAUGUAGACAGAAGGUGGCCAGCGGAGGACACCCAGGGUGCCCAUGCCUGGGGACAGUCCAGCAGGGACGUGCAAGGUCGGCGCCCAGUGAGAGGCCAAGUGAGCUCUGUGAGCUGCUCUAGCAAAUUAUCGUACUGCAGGAGGGGGACGCAGGGACCUCUGAUCUGUAGCCAAGUCGGGCAGAAGUGUGGGUGAGCGGGGGACCCGCGCCUUGUGGCUGGCGUCUGAAGCGGGGCAGUCUUGUGGGGCCGAGCCCUUUGCCUGCAGGCUCUGUGCUGACUCUGGGAGUCAGUGUCAGACCUGAACUGACUUGUAGGACACCCAACCGUGUCUGCAGAGAAGUGGAGAAAUGCUCCGUGUGGGAAAACCCCCAUGUCUGGUGUCUGCGGCGUAGAGAGCUGAGUCCAGGAAGCACCUCACACUUGUGAAGAGGCCCCAGUCCCUGCGCCCCCCCUGGGGUGGAGGCUUGAGGGGUUCCAUGGGGACAAAACUGGCCCCAGGGAGCCACUUCACCUUGGCAGACGGAGCUUCUGGGCACGAAAAGCUCACAUUUAGUCUCCCAGUGGUCCAGGAGAUGAGGGUAGUUACCGGCCCCACUGAUGCUGACGCAGAAGGCUGGGACCCACCAGCAGCUCAGGGGACAGCCCACAGCCACACGUCCUGCCGGCCGCCAGCCACUUUGCACGCCCUCCACACCCACCUCUGGUGACGGCUGCCUUCAUGGUCCACGUGUGCUUCUCGGGGACCUCAGCGACAGGGGACCAAGGUUGGGGGAAGGUCAGGAAUGUGGAUUUGCUCCUGGUUCACAGCUUCUUGUGUUAAGCCCUGGGGUGACGUCAGCAUUUCCGUCCUGGGCUCUCCCAGGCCCCCUGCCGGGACAGAGAGUGGGGCCCCCCGGAAAGGCUGAUCUGGGCCCAGCAGCAGGGCAGGGCAGCCCCGGGAUGGUCCGAGACCAGCAUUCUCUCUGCAGGACGUGCAGACCCCCAUCCUGAGCGGCCUUCCACAGCACUGACAUUCUAGAACACUCCACAGCUGCCGCCCAGGUCUUCGGUUGGGAUUCGGCUACGGAAAUCCAGAAACAUCUUUGACAACACCAUUUAUUGCUGCAACUCUAGCCCUCACCUGCCUCCUGGACUGGGGACCUGCCGGGAGUGGUGUCAGCCGGGGUAGCAGGGCCCUCCUGGCCUCUCUCCCCAGGAAGCCCUGCGCCAGCCAGUCCCACGCACGUGUGCACAUGUGUGAGUGCACGCUCACCCCUCACAUGUGUAAAUGCUUGCACCACACUGACAUCCACACACGGACACAUGUGUGAACACCAUCACACACAUAUGCACACACUCGAACUCACACACACAACAGGUAGCCCCCCAGCUGUUACCCGCCAUCCCCACCCCAGCGGGAGCCACGGGCCCUUGCACGCUGCCUAUCAGGACAGUCCGGCCUGGGGUGGC